rnacentral:rRNA from 1 species
UACGUAGGGUGCGAGCGUUAAUCGGAAUUACUGGGCGUAAAGCGCGCGCAGGCGGCUUCGCGCGCCCGACGUGAAAGCCCCCGGCUUAACCGGGGAGAGUCGUUGGGGACGGCGGAGCUUGAGGGCGGGAGAGGUCGGUGGAAUUCCGAGUGUAGAGGUGAAAUUCGUAGAUAUUCGGAAGAACACCAGUGGCGAAGGCGGCUCACUGGACGACUGUUGACGCUGAGGUGCGAAAGCGUGGGGAGCAAACAGG